GUCUGUACAAGCUGGCGGCAACGUUCGGGUUCUGGUGGGUGGUGCGCGUCUAUGCCGUGCCACUGCUGAUCGUGAACGCGUGGCUUGUGCUCAUCACCUACCUGCAGCACACCCACCCGGCGCUCCCCCACUACGAUUCGACUGAGUGGGACUGGCUGCGCGGCGCGCUGGCCACCAUGGACCGCGACUACGGCAUCCUCAACCGCGUGUUCCACAACAUCACGGACACGCACGUCGCGCACCACCUCUUCUCCACCAUGCCACACUACCACGCCAUGGAGGCCACCAAGGCGAUCAAGCCUAUCCUUGGCGAGUACUACCAGUUCGACCCAACUCCUGUUGCCAAGGCGACCUGGCGUGAAGCCAGGGAGUGCAUCUACGUCGAGCCUGAGAACCGCAAGGGCAUCUUCUGGUACAACAACAAAUUCUAG
rnacentral:lncRNA from 1 species